GUACUAACUGGGAAAGUUGUGACGUAGUUACCGUACGUCACUGUGACCACCGCGAUCAGCCAAUAAGAUUAUCGGAACAGCUCGUGCUCAAGAACCAGUAGCCAAUCGGAGAUGUGACAUUAAAUUUGACAGUGGACGCGGGAACAUGCUGUUUUUAUGUUGGCCAGCCUGAGAGACGCAUGUAAACAAACCUAAAAACAACAAUUUUUUCGAUUUUAUUUCUGCCAUCGGAGAGAGAAAGAGAGAUUAUUGUUUUCUAAGUUUAUGGUUCAAAAUCAUGGAUUUGAAAGAAAUUUUGAAGUUAAACCUGCGGCGUUUGAGGAAGAAAAAGGAGCUUUUGGGACAAGAAAACACAUCAUUCAUCAAACAUGAAAACAAGCUUUUUCUUGAAUUGAUGGAGAGCAGCAAAUCACCCGCUGAUCCAACUCUGCAAGCAAUUCCUCAGUUUUAUUUCAAGUUGCCUCAGGAUGAUUCGUCUUUGAUUGCUCAGAAAUUGAGAGAGGAAUCGCGAGCAAUGUUUUUGCAGAGAAAAAGCCGUCAGUUGCUUGAUAACAAUGAAUUAAAAGCACUGUGGGUACUUUUAGACAAACACCAUACUCCUCCAUUAUCAGGAGAUGAGCAAAUGAUUAAUUACCAAGACUUCCUCAAAGUUGCUGACUUGGCAGGACCUAAGAGCAGGGCGUACUUUAAACCAUCUGUAUUCGCCAAGCUGCAGACCAAAGAUCCAUUCGGGCGAGUCUCAAUCAUGGCCCUGUUUAAUUAUGUUAUGAGAAAAGUUUGGCUUCAGCAAACCAGAAUAGGUCUCUCCUUGUAUGAUGUCACUGGCCAGGGAUACCUUCGAGAAUCAGACCUCGAAAACUACAUUUUGGAGCUGCUUCCAACCUUGCCACAAUUGGAUGGCCUGGAGAAAUCAUUUCAUUCAUUUUAUGUUUGCACUGCUGUUCGAAAAUUUUUCUUCUUCUUGGAUCCUCUUCGAACUGGAAGGAUUCGGAUACAAGAUGUACUUGCCUGUUCAUUUCUUGAUGACCUGCUUGAACUCCGAGACGAGGACCUGCCUAAAGACCUGCAGGACGCAAAUUGGUUUUCCGCACCUUCAGCUUUGAGGGUUUACGGACAGUAUCUUAAUCUAGACAGAGAUCACAAUGGAAUGCUUAGUCAAGAAGAACUGGGAGGCUACGGAACGGGCACUUUAACAGCAGUGUUUCUGGAGCGAGUUUUCCAAGAAUGCCUCACUUAUGAUGGUGAAAUGGACUACAAAACUUACUUGGAUUUUGUUCUCGCCCUUGAAAACAGAUCAGAACCACAAGCUUUGCACUACCUUUUCAGAAUUUUAGAUGUCCAAGGAAAAGGCCACCUUGACAUUUUCAGCCUGAACUAUUUCUUUAGGGCCAUUCAACAGCAGCUCAGAUUGCAUGGUCAAGAACCAGUUUCCUUUGAGGAUGUGAAAGAUGAAAUUUUUGACAUGGUCCGGCCUAAAAAUUGUCUGAAAAUUACUCUGCAAGACCUACUUUCAUGCGGCCAUGGAGACACCAUGAUCAGUAUUUUGACUGAUCUCAAUGGAUUUUGGACCUAUGAAAACAGAGAGGCAAUGGCAGCUGAGUCGAGUGAAACAAUCGAGGGAUGAGGGUUGACGUUGUAAAUGGAUUUCUGUGUGAAUUAAAGUUCUACAAAAUUAAAGUGCAAUCGUAGGCCCUUGCACAGGUUAAACACAGAUAGAGAUAGCCAAGAUAGGAUACCAUAGAGUCACGGUUCAGCUUUAAUUUUUAAGGUAAUUUCGUAAAAUAUCAUUUAAAAUAUAGAAACUAGAAACCAUUGGAGUUAAAAAUUUGUAGCGAGUUAUUCAUGGGAUAUGAAAAUAUUUUGCGUUCUUCAAUUUAUAUUUCCUUUUAUAUAAUAUAUUUUGAUAAAGACAAUUAAAAUUAAUGAGAUGGUAAUUAUUCAGGUACAGCGCUAUUACUAUUAUUAAAAAUAUUGUAUGAGAUCAAAUUUAAUAUUCAUGGUUAUUUAUUUGUUAAAUUUUUUAUUACCGCUCUUGUAAUCACUCUACAUGACGUAAUAUUCCUUAUAGCUUUAAUUUAGGUGAAAUUGAUUAGAGCGCUAGAUUAAAAAACAUUCUUAGCAUAAGCGAUCUCACUAUUAAUUUUCAAGGAAGUUUUAAUUUUAACUUUUGUCCUGGAUUUGCCCUUAAUGCGCGUCAAAUGAAAAUUAGUGUGGCAGGGUCUGAAUCGGGGUGCGCUGGACGGGUGAAUUUUCCAUAAAAAUUUGGGUCAGCGAGGUGCAUUUCAAGAUAUCGUGCGGUCUGCUGGAUAUUAAAGAGCUGAGUCACACCAACAUAAAAUUCGUGCGUCGGCCGAAAAACUUACAACCGGUGUAUUUAUUUUUUGUCAGUAAGAGAGCAACACGGAAAGAACUGAUGUACACGUUUUAUUCAUUAGGAGAAUCGAUGUCUUUUGUGUUUCGUUCGUAGAGGGCAAGUCAUGUGUGGGUUGAUGGCCAAGCUGAUUGAUUGGUUGUUGAGUGCUCUUGGUCUAGUUUAUGAAGCAGCAAUACAAAAAUUAAAAUAAUACAAUAAAAAUACGAUUUUUUUUUAAAUAUUUAUAGGAUAAAAAAAUA